GCCUCGUUAGCUCAGUGGCUAGAGCGCUUCACUCGUAUUGAAGAUGUCCCGGGUUCGAAUCCCGGACGAGGCU
rnacentral:tRNA from 1 species